GAUGAACGCUGGCGGCGUACCUAAUACAUGCAAGUCGAGCGAACAGACGAGGAGCUUGCUCCUCUGACGUUAGCGGCGGACGGGUGAGUAACACGUGGAUAACCUACCUAUAAGACUGGGAUAACUUCGGGAAACCGGAGCUAAUACCGGAUAAUAUAUUGAACCGCAUGGUUCAAUAGUGAAAGACGGUUUUGCUGUCGCUUAUAGAUGGAUCCGCGCCGCAUUAGCUAGUUGGUAAGGUAACGGCUUACCAAGGCGACGAUGCGUAGCCGACCUGAGAGGGUGGUCGGCCAGACGGGAACUGAGACACGGUACAGACUCCUACGGGAGGCAGCAGUAGGGAAUCUUCCGCGAUGGGCGAAAGCCUGACGGAGCAACGCCGCGUGAGUGAUGAAGGUGUUCGGAUCGUAGAGCUCUGUUAUUAGGGAAGAACAAAUGUGUAAGUACCUAUGCACGUCUUGACGGUACCUAAUCAAAAAGCCACGGCUAACUACGUG
rnacentral:rRNA from 1 species